CACGUAGGGUGCGAGCGUUGCCCGGAAUUAUUGGGCGUAAAGAGCUCGUAGGCGGUGUGUCGCGUCGGCCGUGAAAACCUGCAGCUUAACUGUGGGCGUGCGGUCGAUACGGGCAUCACUGGAGUUCGGCAGGGGAGACUGGAAUUCCUGGUGUAGCGGUGAAAUGCGCAGAUAUCAGGGAGGAACGACCGGUAGGCGGAAGGCGGGGUCCUCUGGGCCGAGUACAUGACGUGGAG
rnacentral:rRNA from 1 species